AGAGUUUGAUCCUGGCUCAGAACGAACGCUGGCGGCGUGCUUAACACAUGCAAGUCGAACGCGAAAGGGACUUCGGUCCCGAGUAGAGUGGCGCACGGGUGAGUAACGCGUAAGUAAUCUACCCCUGUAUCUGGAAUAACCCACCGAAAGGUGAGCUAAUACCGGAUACGUUUAUCUUGAUGCGAAUGAUGAUAAAGAAAGGUGGCCUCUUCAUGAAAGCUACCGUACAGGGACGAGCUUGCGUACCAUUAGCUGGUUGGUAGGGUAAUGGCCUACCAAGGCGACGAUGGUUAGCGGGUCUGAGAGGAUGAUCCGCCACACUGGAACUGAAACACGGACCAGACUCCUACGGGAGGCAGCAGUGAGGAAUAUUGCGCAAUGGGGGCAACCCUGACGCAGCGACGCCGCGUGGACGAUGAAGGCCCUUGGGUCGUAAAAUCCUGUCAGAUGGAAAGAAAUGUACAGGUGUUAAUAUCGCCUGUAUUUGACGGUACCAUCAAAGGAAGCACCGGCUAACUCCGUGCCAGCAGCCGCGGUAA
rnacentral:rRNA from 1 species